rnacentral:rRNA from 1 species
UACGAAGGGGGCUAGCGUUGCUCGGAAUCACUGGGCGUAAAGCGCACGUAGGCGGAUCUUUAAGUCAGGGGUGAAAUCCCGGAGCUCAACUCCGGAACUGCCCUUGAAACUGCAGUGCUAGAAUCUUGGAGAGGCGAGUGGAAUUCCGAGUGUAGAGGUGAAAUUCGUAGAUAUUCGGAAGAACACCAGUGGCGAAGGCGACUCGCUGGACAAGUAUUGACGCUGAGGUGCGAAAGCGUGGGGAGCAAACAGG